GACGAACGCUGGCGGCGUGCCUAAUACAUGCAAGUAGAACGCACAGUUUAUACCGUAGCUUGCUACAACAUAGACUGUGAGAUGCGAACGGGUGAGUAACGCGUAGGUAACCUGCCUGGUAGCGGGGGAUAACUAUUGGAAACGAUAGCUAAUACCGCAUAAUAUUGAUUAUUGCAUGAUAAUUGAUUGAAAGAUGCUAUUGCAUCACUACCAGAUGGACCUGCGUUGUAUUAGCUAGUAGGUGAGGUAACGGCUCACCUAGGCGACGAUACAUAGCCGACCUGAGAGGGUGAUCGGCCACACUGGGACUGAGACACGGCCCAGACUCCUACGGGAGGCAGCAGUAGGGAAUCUUCGGCAAUGGACGAAAGUCUGACCGAGCAACGCCGCGUGAGUGAAGAAGGUUUUCGGAUCGUAAAGCUCUGUUGUAAGAGAAGAACGGGUGUGAGAGUGGAAAGUUCACACUAUGACGGUAUCUUACCAGAAAGGGACGGCUAACUACGUG
rnacentral:rRNA from 1 species